GUCGUCAGAGUAGUUAGCGUCUAACAUUUGCUUUUCUGUGGCAUGUUUGCGAAAUAUCAAUAAGCAACUACAACGCUCCCCGGGGUCCCCAACGAAACGUUCCCUUAAACCGGCGUUUCAAAGCGCGGGAGAUCUGCUUGUUGUGGGAAUAAUGCGUAAUGGAACAGGCCAAAUCGAAGACGUGGUGUGCUGACACUCGGAGUCAGAAACUAUUUAGCACCUCUCGCUGCAUGGUUGUAAUCAUUCUCCCCGUCGAAGAACCAUAUGAGAGAUAAAUGGCGUGCAAUGAAGAAAUGGUCGCUGUCAUUGGCAAGAAUAUUACUAGAGCCAUAUCCAACAAGAAUAUGGUUAAAAGAAACUUCCCCCAAGCGUCGGAAAAAGGUGAUCUCACUUUCCUGCGUACCGAAACUCGGAAGGUGUGUCAAUGUCGAUCCAUAUUAAACGUCGACUCUGCAGUGAUUCAUGAGCAAAGUUU